AUUGAACGCUGGCGGCAGGCCUAACACAUGCAAGUCGAGCGGAGCGGCGGACGGGUGAGUAAUGCCUAGGAAUCUGCCUGGUAGUGGGGGAUAACGUCCGGAAACGGGCGCUAAUCCCGCAUACUACCCGAUGAGCCUAGUGCGGAUUAGCUAGUGGGUGUGUUGAUGGCCUACCAAGGCGACGAUCCGUAACUGUUCUGAGAGGAUGAUCAGGCACACUGGAACUGAGACACGGUCCAGACGCCUACGUGAGGCAGCAGUGGGGAAUAUUGGAAAAGGGGCGAAAGCCUGAUCCAGCCAUGCCGCGUGUGUGAAGAAGGUCUUCGGAUUGUAAAGCACUGUAAGUUGGGAGGCGUUACCAACAGAAUAAGCACCGGCUAACUUCGUGCCAGCAGCCGCGGUAAUUC
rnacentral:rRNA from 1 species